UACGUAGGGGGCAAGCGUUGUCCGGAUUUAUUGGGCGUAAAGAGCGUGUAGGCGGCUAGGUAGGUCCGUUGUGAAAACUCGAGGCUCAACCUCGAGACGCCGAUGGAAACCAUCUAGCUAGAGUCCGGAAGAGGAGAGUGGAAUUCCUGGUGUAGCGGUGAAAUGCGCAGAUAUCAGGAAGAACACCCGUGGCUAAGGCGGCUCGCUAGGACGGAACUGACGCUGAGGCGCGAAAGCGUGGGGAGCAAACAGG
rnacentral:rRNA from 1 species